rfam:Canis lupus familiaris chromosome 27, whole genome shotgun sequence.
CUCCGUUCCUGGCCUUUUGGCUAAGAUCAAGUAUAGUUUCUGUUAUCACCAGAAUAUCUGAUAUGUCCUCUACCCAAGGACAACAUAUAAAGUGGAUUUCAGAAACAGGGAGAUGGAAACAGGAGCUUGUUCUGUCCACUUGAUGCAUUGACCUCCUGAUACUGCAGUACCUCCAGAAACAGUGCAACCCCC